CAAAGGUGGGGAUCUUCCGACCUGCCGGUAUUGGAUCGGCCCACGUCCUAUCAGCUUGUUGGUGGGGUAAUGGCCUACCAAGGCGGUGACGGGUAGCCGGCGUGAGAACGCGACCGGCCACAUCGGGACUGAGACACUGCCCGGACACCUACGGGUGGCUGCAGCAACGAAUAUUCCGCAAUGGGCGAAAGCCUGACGGAGCGACGCCGCGUGGAGGAUGAAGUCCCUCGGGAUGUAAACUUCAAUAGUACGUCAGGAACCGCGACGGCUUAAUAGGCCGUCAAGUUGACCAGUGUACGAAAGGGGUGGCUAACUCCGUGCCAGCAGCCGCGGUAAUACGGAGACCCCUAGCGUUGUUCGGAAUUACUGGGCUUAAAGCGGGGGUAGGCGGGACGGUAAGUACUUUGUGAAAGCCCCGGGCUCAACUCGGUGAAUUGCUUAGUAUACUGUCGUCCUUGAGGCACGCAGGGGUCACUGGAACCUUCGUGGAGCGGUGAAAUGCGUAAUAUCUAACGGAACGCCUGUGGCGAAAGCGGGUGACUGGGCCUGUACUGACGCUGAGACCCGAAAGCGUAGGUAGCGAACGGGAUUAGAUACCCCGGUAGUCUACGCCGUAAACGAUGCGCACUAGGUUCGAGAAUUCUGACAAUUUUUGUCCUGUAACAAAAGUGUGAAGUGCGCCGCAUGGGGAGUACGGCCGCAAGGCUAAAACUCAAAGGAAUUGACGGGGGCUCACACAAGCGGUGGAGCAUGUGGAUCAAUUCGAAGCAACGCGAAGAACCCUACCUGGGUUUGACAUGCACGGAUGCCCUCCUUGAAAGGGGAGUAAGCUGCCUUCGGGUGAAACGUGCACAGGUGCUGCAUGGCUGUCGUCAGCUCGUGCUGUGAAGUGUCGGGUUAAGUCCCUUAACGAGCGAAACCCCUGUCGCUAGUUACCAGCGGUUCGGCCGGGAACUCUAGCGAGACUGCCGGCGUUAAGCCGAAGGAAGGUGGGGACGACGUCAAGUCAUCAUGGCCUUUAUGUCCAGGGUUUCACACGUGGUACAAUGGGGCGUCCAGAGCGACGCAAGACCCCGUGGUGGAGCAAAUCGCACAAAGCGUCCCUCAGUUCGGAUUUGGGUCUGCAAUUCGACCCCAUGAAGUUGGAAUCGCUUGUAAUCGAGUAUCAGCAAUGACGCGGUGAACGUGUUCCUGAGCCUUGUACACACCGCCCGUCAAGUCAUGGGAAUCGGGAGUUCCCGAAGUCGC
rnacentral:rRNA from 1 species